ACUCAGGUCACGUGAGGGGCGGGCGCGCGGGGUCGGCCGCAACAUGGCUGCCUACCUGCAGUGGCGCCGGUUCGUCUUUUUUGACAGAGAGACGGUGAGGGAGCCCUCGGGGCCGGAUGGAGCCGGUGCGAAGCCUUUCGCGCUGCCCCCAGGCAUCGCGGUCUGCGACUCGGGCCGGGGAAGCCUCGUGUUCGGAGAUAUGGAAGGUCAGAUUUGGUUUUUGCCUCGCUCCCUUCAACUCAGCAGUUUCCAAGCUUACAAGCUAAGGGUGACACAUCUGUACCAGCUGAAGCAGCACAGUAUCCUGGUUUCUAUUGGUGAGGAUGAAGAGGGUAUAAAUCCUUUGGUGAAAGUCUGGAACCUGGAGAAACGAGAUGGUGGUAAUCCUCUUUGCACACGAAUUUUUCCAGCAAUACCAGGUAACAAGCCCACGGUUGUAUCCUGCUUAACUGUCCACGAGAAUCUUAAUUUCAUGGCUAUCGGUUUUGCGGAUGGGAGUGUUGUACUUACUAAAGGAGACAUCACUCGAGAUCGGCAUAGUAAGACCCAGAUCCUACAUGAAGGCAGUUACCCCGUUACUGGCCUUGCUUUUCGACAGUCUGGCAAAACAACACAUCUAUUUGUGGUGACCACAGAGAACAUCCAGUCUUAUAUGCUUUCAGUGAAAGACUAUCCUCACCUGGAGCUGGACACUCAUGGUUGUGGAUUGCGCUGUUCAUCUCUCAGUGACCCCUCCCAGGAUCUCCAGUUCAUUGUGGCAGGAAAUGAAUGUGUGUACCUUUACCAACCAGACGAACGUGGCCCCUGCUUUGCCUUCGAGGGACAGAAGCUGAUUGUUCACUGGUAUCGGGGGUACCUCAUCAUUGUCUCCAAGGACCGAAAGACUUCCCCAAAGUCAGAAUUUGCUGGGAAUGAGGCACAGAAUUCAGACAAACAAGUCCUGAAUAUCUAUGACUUGUGCAACAAAUUCAUUGCAUACAGCUCAAUCUUUGAUGACAUAGUGGAUGUCUUGGCAGAGUGGGGAUCUCUCUAUGUACUGACCAGAGAUGGGAAGAUCCAUGUACUGCAGGAGAAGGAUACACAAACCAAACUUGAGAUGCUGUUCAGAAAGAACUUAUUUGAAAUGGCCAUUAACCUGGCCAAGAGCCACCACUUGGACAGUGAUGGUUUGUCAGAGAUUUUCCGUCAGUAUGGUGAUCAUCUCUAUAACAAGGGAAACCAUGAUGGAGCCAUCCAGCAGUAUAUCCGAACUAUAGGGAAGCUAGAACCAUCUUAUGUUAUUCGGAAAUUCCUGGAUGCUCAGCGUAUCCACAACCUUACUGCUUAUCUACAGAUGCUCCAUCUGCAGUCCCUGGCCAAUGCAGACCACACUACACUUCUGCUGAAUUGCUAUACCAAACUCAAAGACAGCUCCAAACUGGAAGAGUUCAUUAAGACGAGUGAGAGUGAGGUCCACUUUGAUGUGGAAACGGCUAUCAAGGUACUUCGCCAAGCUGGCUACUACUCCCAUGCCGUGUACCUGGCAGAGAAGCAUGAGCAUCAUGAAUGGUACCUCAAAAUCCAGUUAGAGGACAUCAAGAACUACCAAGAGGCUUUGCACUACAUUGGAAAACUGCCCUUUGAACAGGCAGAGAGUAACAUGAAGCGAUAUGGUAAAAUCCUGAUGCACCAUGUCCCUAAUGAGACCACUGAAUUGCUGAAGAUCCUUUGCACUGAUUACCGUCCCUCGGGAGGUAAUGAAGGCCCUGGGAUGCUAGAAGGAAAAAAGGCUAAUUCAGAGGAGUUCAUCCCAGUCUUUGCAAACAAUUCCCGAGAACUGAAAGCUUUUCUGGAGCACAUGACUGAGGUGCAGGCUGACUCUCCACAGGGUGUCUAUGACACUUUGCUGGAACUUCAACUGCAGAACUGGGCACAUGAACAAGAUGAGCAGAUCAAGGAGAAGUUGCACAAUGAAGCCCUCACCCUCCUGAAGAGCGGAAGGUUCAAAACAGUCUUUGAUAAGGCCUUGGUCCUAUGUCAGAUGCACAAUUUCAAGGAUGGUGUUCUCUACCUCUAUGAGCAGGGCAAACUUUUCCAACAGAUCAUGCACUACCACAUGCAGAAUGAGCAGUACAAGAAGGUGAUUGAGGUGUGCGAGUUGUAUGGCGACCAAGAGGCUUGUCUCUGGGAACAGGCUCUUAGCUACUUUGCACGGAAGGAGGAGAACUGCAAAGAGUAUAUUGCUGCAGUGCUGAAACACAUAGAGAACAAGAAUCUUAUGCCUCCGCUGCUUGCUGCAGAAGCAAAGCUGCCAGAUAGAGCAGGAUGAGCAGAGAAUUCAGAAAUACCGAGAAGAAACUACGAGGAUCCGCCUGGAAAUUGAAGAGCUAAAAGCAAGUCCCAAGAUUUUUCAGAAGACCAAGUGUAGCAUUUGCACCAGUGCAUUGGAGCUCCCUUCAGUCCACUUCCUGUGCGGUCAUUCCUUUCACCAGCACUGCUUUGAAAGCUACUCUGAGAGUGAUUCAGAAUGUCCUACUUGUAUGCCAGAAAAUCGCAAAGUGAUGGACAUGAUCCGAGCCCAGGAGCAGAAGAGAGAUCUGCAUGAUCAGUUUCAGCAUCAGCUCAAGUGUUCAAAUGAUGGCUUCUCAGUCGUUGCUGACUACUUUGGUCGCGGCGUCUUCAAUAAGCUCACCCUGAUCACGGACUUGCCCUCGGGAAAGACCGCUACAACCAUCGAGGCUGGCCUGCAGCGGGAGCUGCUUAUCCACACCAAGCGCAGUACCUGACUACAGGCCCUGUCCACACGCCCUCCCGUGUUGUACGGGGUCCCCCGCUGUGUCCUCGGCCCCCUGUGUUUGGCUUUCCCCCUUGGCCCCCAAUAAAGCAGCGUGGCCGGGCAGUGCCGCAGCGCGGCCCUCACUGACCGGCUCGGCCGGGCGGCGCUCCGGGAGCGCGGC